CAGUCUGAUGGUAUCCUAGGGACAGACGGUAGUGAGUAAGUAUGGAGUGUCGGUGGGCAUACAGUAUCAAUCGUGACGAGGUCGAUACUACUAGAUAUGAUGAAGAAUACAUCAUCAGAAAGCGUAUCACGAAGAGUGUUCUCAUUAAUCAGGAACGAAAGUUGGGGGACGAAGACGAUCAGACACGUGUUGAGUCAAAACAACCGCAGGCUCGACUAGGGAUGGGGCGAUGUUGUCAUUUCGACUAAGUCGGCACCUUGCGAGAAUUCUCCCCCUGGAACCUAAGGGGGGAGUAUGGUCGCAAGGUGCAAACAGAAUCAAAAAAGCAACAGGGCACCACAAGGCGGGGAGCAUGCGGCUUAAUUUGACUCAACACGGGGAAACUCACCAGGUCCAGACCCAAUAAGGAUUGACAGAUAAAGAAAUCAUUCUUGGCAAAGGGGGUGGCGGUGCAUGGUCGUUCAUAAAUGCAGGAAUGACACGUCUGAUUAAGAAAUAUAACGACCGAGACCUUAACCUACUAAAUAGCCCGGCCAGCUUUGAAGGCCAACAGAAUUGGAAGAGGGACUAUCGGCUCAAGCCCAUGGAAAUGUGAGGCAAUAACAGGUUUGUGAUGCCCAUAGAUAUUUUGGGCAGCACGCGCGCUACAAGGCAGGAGCCAACGAGUACUUUUCCGGGGCCGGUAGGCGGGGGUAAUCUUGUUAAACUCCGUCCACAUGGGGAUAGAGCAUUGCAAACCCUGCUCUUCAACGAGGAAUGCAGAGUAAGCGCGAGUCAUCAGCUCGCGUUGAUUACGGCCCUGCCCUUAGCACUCACCGCCGCUCA
rnacentral:rRNA from 1 species